UAUAGUUGAUUUACAAUAUUCUGCCAAUUUCUGCUGUACAGAAAAGUGACCCAGCAACAGAUGUAUACAUAUAUACAUUCUUUUUCUCAUAUUAUCUCCCAUCAUGUUCUAUCACGACUGAUGAGAUAUAGUUUCCUGUGCUGUACAGUAGGACCUCAUGGCUUAUCCAUUCUAAAUGUCAUAAGCCAGAGAGAGAGAGAGAGAGAGAGAGAACACGGCUAUUUAUUGUGUAUCCAUGGACUUUGUUUUCCAUUAAUUUUCACAUGACCCUAAAACUGAGUACUGAGUAACCCCAUUUUAGAGAAAAGGGGGCUGGGGACUCUAAUUAGUCCAAUUUUAGACAGGAGGUUCAGAGGAUUUGAGGGAACGUACCUAAGUCAGGUAGCCAACAAAUAGUCCAGUAGAUAUUCAAUCCCAGGAGUAUUGCUGUUAAUGAACACACUGGACUGACCCCUCCCCAAAAAGUCCCCCUGUGACUACCGAGUCCUUCAGCGUCUCGUCUCCAUCCUGGCACUUGGCCAUUUUCAGGCUCUGCUCAGAAGUCCCCUCCUUGAGGGACCUUCCCAACUGCCCCAUCGAAAAUACUGCCCCCCUCUGGUCAGUCUGCUUCUUUCAAUGCUUGAUUUUCUUUCUUACCCUUCACCCCAGAGUGAUACAUUUUGUAUGUGUACCUAUUUAUGGUCUUUGGUCUGUGAGCCCCAAGAAUGUCAGCUCCUUGAGGUCUGGGGCUUUGUAAGCUCUCAGAUCAUGGUUCAUCCUUGACAACCGGAUUAGAAAAAGACUCUGUGGAAAUGAGUAAGGGGUAUGAAUUGAAGAGGAAAACACCUAGGUAAUGAAAAGACAAAAGGAUAUAGAAUAAUAAGCCUAGGAUAUAGGGUCACACAACUUCAAUCUGAAUCACAGCUUUGCUCUCAAUUAGCUGUGUGACCAUAAGCAGGUUUGAGUUUCCUCCGUGGUAGUAGGGACACAGUGUCUUUGUGUGGAUUAAAUGACACAGUAUACAUUUAAAAGUGGCUCUUUGAAGUUCCCAUCAUGGCUCAGUGGAAACCAAUCAGACUAGCAUCCAUGAGGAUGCAGCAGGCUCGAUCCCUGGCCUCAUUGGCCUUGCGGUGAGCUAUGGUAUAGGUCACAGACAUGGCUCAGAUCUGGCAUUUCGGUGGCUGUGGCAUAGGCCGGAAGCUACAUCUCUGAUUCAAUCCCUAGCUUGGGAACCUCCAUGAGCAGCACCAGGGUGCAUCCCUAAAUGAAUAAAUUAAUAAAGGCUCUUUAUAACUGAGUUAACUCAUUUUUUUCUCCUAGAAUUGUUCCUGGAAACAUAGCUAAGCACAUAAUAAGAGCUCAGUACACACACGGUGGAGCAUGGAAUGCCAGACCAUAGUUCAUAAUUAGGCCAUGCUGUGUUAUAGAAAAAGCAAUGAAAAAGAGGAAGAAGGCCAGCAACUAGACCCACUUCUGUCAUAUAGCUACCUGUGCGCCCUUGGACAAGUUGCCUUGCUUCUUGGGUCCAUGUUUUCUCCUGGGUAAAACAAGGCAGUUGGACAGGAAUAUGUAUAAGUUGCCUUCCACCUCUGAAAUCUAUGAAAUUGAAAACAUCCCACAGUUGAUCUGGUUUC
rnacentral:lncRNA from 1 species